UACCAGCACCCCGAGUGGUCGGGACGAUUAUUGGGCCUAAAGCAUCCGUAGCCGGUCCUGCAAGUCUUCCGUUAAAUCCAGCUGCUCAACAGAUGGGCUGCGGAGGAUACUACAGGGCUAGGAGGCGGGAGAGGCAAGCGGUACUUUAUGGGUAGGGGUAAAAUCCGUUGAUCCAUAGAAGACCACCAGUGGCGAAGGCGGCUUGCCAGAACGCGCUCGACGGUGAGGGAUGAAAGCUGGGGGGAGCAAACCGG
rnacentral:rRNA from 1 species